rnacentral:rRNA from 1 species
CCCUUAGAUGUUCUGGGCCGCACGCGCGCUACACUGAUCAGUGCAACAAGCAUCCGUCCUUGGCCGACAGACCCGGGCAAUCUUUGAACGCUGAUCGUGAUGGGGAUAGACUUUUGCAAUUUUUGGUCUUCAACGAGGAAUUCCUAGUAAACGCAAGUCAUCAACUUGCAUUGAUUACGUCCCUGCCCUUUGUACACACCGCCCGUCGCACCUACCGAUUGAAUGGUCCGGUGAAGCCUCCGGAUUGGCGUGCACCCUCGGGUGCUGCCGAGAAGUUGGCUAAACCUUACCAUUUAGAGGAAGGUGAAGUCGUAACA